GUGUUCGUAGCUUAAUUGGAAGAGCGUUUGAUUUUUAAUCAAGAGGUUGGGAGUUCGAGUCUCUCCGGACACA
rnacentral:tRNA from 1 species